rnacentral:snoRNA from 1 species
GGCCUGUGAUGUGAACAAUUUGUCAGUACCAUCUGACAUCUAUGAUGAACCAUGUUUGCCAAUGUAUCUUUGAGGCCA